AACUCUUGUUUAAGGCGUCCACACGGCUGGUGGAGCCCUGGGCCCCGGGAUCUGUUGUACGAUUAACGUAAACUUAGGAAACAUGCUUUGUGUUGUUUCUAAACGGUCCAGAUUUAAGUUGCGUUCAGCCACAGGAUUUCUGUAAAUACAGACUUUCGUCAGCAGAGGCCUUGUGUUUGCUUUUUGAUCCAACUUGGUGUGUUUAUUUAAUCUGCGAUGACUCAGCUUGCUGGCUGCUUUAGGAACUGGGAGUGUGUGUCCUCAUGAUGCCAAGGCUGGAUUGACUUUGUUCUGAAUUGCAGAGGCCCGGAAAGAGGGCAUGUUCCCCCUUACAAGCUGGCCAUCUGAACUCCUCUUUUCUUCUACGGAGUAUGGAAAGUAUAGUUGUUUGACGAUGAGACUGAUUCUAGCUCAGAGGCGCCAUACUUCACAAAGCUAUCGUUUUUUUCCUUUCCACGGAGACAGACAGAGCCAGUCCAGAGGCCGACUGACAUCGUGCUGCCCAUCUUCUUAUCUCUCUACGGCACAUUCCAGAGGAAACACAGAGGAAGAGGUUGGUGUCCAUUGGCUCAGGAGGUCACAAGAUGCCAAUGUGUGGAUAAAUGAUUCCUUUAGUGACUAUAUUAACUUCUAAGAAACUCAAGAAGAAGAAGAAGGAGAAGAAGAAGAAGAAGAAGAAGAAGAAGAAGAAGAAGAAGAAGAAGAAGAAGAAGAAGAAGAAGAAGAAGAAGAAGAAGAAGGAGGCAAUAUAGGCUUAUUUAUGUAUGCUCGGCUUGCACUUGUGUCCCGAGUCGUCAGUCUCCCACUUCUGUUGGGCUGUGCUUGCCAUUUUUCCCACUCAACAUGUCUCAGCUGGUACCAGCUUCUGUCUACCAUCCCCUUGCUUUGGAGGGUCCCCUCUCAUUUUGUGAUGUUUCCCUGGACUGUGGCUACUUCUGCUCCCGGGCCAUUGGAAGCCUUUGUUGCUUGAAGGUUCAUCUGGCUUGCCAUAGUGUGCUCAGCUCGUGCUGGCCACACAGGGAUCUGUUCCCUUUGCUUCUUCCCAGUGAAAUUUCUUGGCAUCAUGGGUUUCAGAUUGAAACAAAGCCUCCCCUAUGCUAGGCAAGUGCUCCACUGCUGGGCUACAUCCCAGAACCUGAGGCCCCCAGUUUGCCAGGCUUGCAGCUGUACGGCUGAGCUAGACCCCAAGUUCAGAAAGGUGGGCUUGUGUUGCAUCUCCCAGGCCUCCAGCCUGCACUGGCUCCCUGCUCAGCCUCUGAAGUCUUGUUUCCACGCCUGCAGCACACCAAGUUUGCUCUUGGCUGAUCAGCUUAUGGCUGGCUCCUCAUCAUUCAGACCUUCCUUUUGGGAUCACUCAUUCCCAGAAGAGGCUAUCUACAGCACAGGUGAUAACCACUGUUCCAUUUGCCUCCCGUCAGCCUGCAGAAGAUGACUCCCUUCCUCUUUGGAACUAGUUAUGGUCAUUUGACUUGCUUUGGUCUCAACAUAUGCCACCAUCGACUUGACAAUGUGGCAAAGUGGAAGUCUUUAAAAGCUGUUGCAUAAUUUGUCACAUGGCCUUACUGAAACCUUUGUGUUUGGUGAUGUUAAACUGAGAAGCUUCUGCCAUCCUGAAUCCCUGAAAGGGCACCUGGGACAGCUCUGCCCUGAACCAGGAUGGCAAAGUUCCAUGAGGAAAAGCUAUAGCAUUCUGACUCUGGGCUUAUUUGUUAGUAUACACAUCCUAACCUGCGGACAGCACACAGCUUUCUUGUCCUUUCAGACAAUCCCAACUCUUUUCCUACCUUAUUUUCUUCAGAGUGCAUAUAAUUACAUAAAGCCAGUUUCUUAUUCAAUUAAGAACUGUCCUCCUCACUAAAGCGAUAUGGAAGCUUUGUCUGUCUUCUUCUUCAUUGUGGUAUCUCCAGAGCCUAUAACAUUAGCUGGUACAUUAGCAGAUCUCUGAGAUGUGUGCUGAACAGGUCAAACCAACGAACAUAGUAUUUCAAUGUGUGGAAUCUCCAUGAGGACAACUGAUUACGCCAAGAUUCCAGGAUAGCCUCUGGGACACGUGAAAAAGAAGACACGUUUAGUUAGGUUCUGAUGGUUGAAAAUGGUGAGCCUUGACCAUUUGCAAAAAGAUCUCACUCUCAUUCUUACAUUUUUUCUUUCCCCAUUGUUUCAUAGACAAUGUUCUGUGUGGAAGGAAAACAAUCAUAACUUUGUCUUUUACAGUCUAUGUAGUCAUAGACUAUAAAACAGUGCUCCUUAUGUAAAGCAUAAGCUUAGCGAUGCCUUAAGUGCAUUUGGUGCACAGGCAGCUAGGCCUUUCCUGGCUUUCUAGAGGAUACAAAAUGCCAAUGCAUUUCAAAUAGACCCAUGAAGCGCACACUUCCAUUUUGGGCCAUGACCAUCCUUUCAUUAUAAUGCUUGGACUCUGCUGUCUUAUGGCAUGCUAAUGUAUAUCAAUUAUAAAGAUGUUUUGAGUCGAUGAUUUCUCAAAGGCUUCAAAGGAGUGAGGGAAACAUUUGUUAUUGGGUAGGUGGUCAGCAGGGCUUCCCAGCUGGGGCAACUGACUCAUAACUCUGCUCUUGUUGUAGACUCAGUCCUUGAGCCAGAUGAUCACUUCCGUUCUUUGGUCAUCCACACUAAUUUAGGGUGACUACUAACAGCUGCAUCCCUGGAUGCCUUCUCUUGAACAAAAAUAGAAAAGCACAGAUGGUGACAUUUCACAUUCACAAGGCUCAUUCGGUCCUGAAGUCAUUUGUUGUCUUCUCAAUUUCCAGGCAAAAUGGAAUGGGGAAGUUAUUCUGACGUCAGACUGCAGUGGCCAUUUGCUUUUUUGACAAUUUGAGACUCUCCGGCAUGAAUCUGAGGGACUCGAUGGCUUUCGCAUCACGGGAUACUGUGGUUUCAUUAUAGCUCAUUUGUUACAUAAAAACACCUGGUCUCUUGUGUCUUGUUUUUUUAUUCUGAAAUUCCUUAUGCUUAAAAAACCUCUUCCAGUUCCUGUCAAUCACGUCUCAUGGCUCCUCCCCCUGAUCUCUGUUGUACUUUUGCUUUAUCUGGAAACACGACUUUUCUAUAGUAUACCAUACAUCAGGAGUUUUCAUGUUUGCUGCACCACAAAACAGAAACAGGGUAGCAAUGGAGUUUAGAACAUGGGGUAUUUUUUCCAUCUUUAACUUACUUUGGCAUCUGAAAUACUUCAACUACUUUAAAGAUCACCAUGUGCUCAACAGAUCUGUAUAAAUUUGCAGGGAUGCUUUCGACUUCUGUUUUUAUCUUGCCAGAAGGAACAUAAUGAAAGCCUAGUGUGUCUGGACAGCAAGAAUGUAUCUUCUAACCACUCUUUGAAAGAAAAUAAACGGUAUAAUUAAUUUUCCCCCUUGAAUGUAAAAUUAGGCCUGCUCAUUAUAGAGAAACUUAGAGAGCACAGAGAGUGUAAGGGAGAAAAUGAAAAAUCAAAAUAUAACUGUAAGAGAUUUGAUUAAUGUAUUAGUGUAUUUAUCUUUAUUUCAUAUACAUUAAAUGAUUUUCAAAGAUAGGAUUUUAGUAUUGCUAUGAUAAAAUGCUAUUAAAAUACUCCUGAAGCUUGAAUAUUUAGAUAUUUAAUGAUUAUUAUUAAUUCAUUUUUCAUCUAGAAGCACAGAACACUUUGACAUUAACCUUUCACUCCAUGUUAGUCUCUUUCAGGAGGGUAGAUCCUGAAAAAAAAGAGUUACUGAAUCUAAUCUGUGAUGCACUUUGGUGGGUACUUUUCGGUUCUUUUUUCUGGACCUUCCAGCCAGUUCUGAUGCUCCAGACUGCUUCCUCUUUAUUGAAACCCUGUUUCCUGUGCUCAGCAGCAUCAGGACUCCUCAGUUCUCUCCUCCCUCGGGGUCUCUCCUCCCAGAGCCCCCCGGGAGCCCCCGCUGCAGUCACUGAUGUGGAAAUUCCUCAGGCUUCCGUCCCAUGAUCCCCUUUCUUUUCAUCAUCACUCUCUGAACUCAUCUACAUUUGGGACUUUGCUUGCUAUGUCUGUAUCUAAGUGUCUUAUUAUAAGUCAGUGUGGGAGUCCACGUCUGCAUACAUUCCAGCAUUUAGGAGGCUGAGGCAGCUGGGUCUAGAGUCAAGGCAAGCCGGAGUAGGCUAUACCAAAACCAAAACAAAGACAAAACAGAAUAAAGCGGAAAAACAGAUUUGCUGGGACUGGAGAGAUGGCUCAGCAGUUAGAGCACUGCUGCUCUUCCAGAGGACCUGGGUUGGACUUUCAGCACACACAUGGUGGUUCAUAUGUCUGUAACUCCAGUUCUAGGGGAUCUAAUACUCUCUUCUAUCCAUAUCGGGAACCAGGCAUGCAGGUGAUAUGAAGAUAGGCAAAACACCCAGACACAAAUAAAAUUAAAAAGACAAGGAACAGAGCUCUCAGUUCUUAUCUCAUGUCUCUUUUCAUAAUGAAUACAUAAUUAUAGAUUAUGUACCUUAUCCAUGCAUUUUUUCCUGAGUGUUGUGUUAUGGAUAGCAAUUUUGUAUCCAGUAGAAGGUAUUAGAAUGGAGGUUAUGACCUGUAUUGUAGCUCUUUGUUAGCUGUUGAGUAAGCUAAAGCCCUUUACCUUUUCCAAGUACUCAUUCUUUAACUGUUAGAUUCCUAGGAUAAAUUCUGUUUCCUAGUUCUAGUAUUUAUAGAGCUGUUUCUGUUCCAUUUUGUUUUAGGCAUGAUCAGGUACAGGUUUAGAAUCUCUCAAAUGAUAUCAGAUUGUCUGGAUAUCUUUGAAACAGACCUGGUUUUUCUUUAAAUAGGUAAUUAUGCUGUAGGUUUGACUUUUAAUCUCUUAAAAGGAGAAAUAGGCCACAUGGCAAUCAACUACUUUCCCUCCACUCCAAUGGUGAGGACAUGAGCCCCAAGUGACUCUGAUCAGAAAGUCAGACGGGAAAGUCAGAGAGAGGCCGCAUCAGGGAGACUGAGCGACCAUCGGGGGCCUAGAGGUAGAGUCGAUAGUGUUUCAUAGGAAGGGCACUUUAGACUCAGUUUCCCCAAUUCUGCUGUUUUACUUCACAAAUAUGUUGAGAGAAAAUAGUCCACUCAAACUAAGUUAGAAUAAUUUUAAUAGCCACACAAUUCAGUCUCUCAGGAGACAGACUUUUUCCUGACACUGAGCCGUUGUAUAUACCAAGUUCACUUAGGUACUUGCCAAGUGGCUUCCCAGCCUAGUUUUGAAUAUAGUCACUGAAAAAUGUGUUAAUGUGUCCCUUUGUUCUAGUUUUUUUGAGACUUUCAUUGUAUUUAUGCUCCUACUGCUUUAUGUUGAGAGCUGACUUUACAAUUCUCCCCAGAUGACACUUGCUUGUCUUAUUACACAGUUAGUAUAAUGGAGUGAGUCUUCUUCUGCACGUCCUUUAGUCAGUGAUACUCAAGAAAUAAUCUGUUCUGAGAAUGGGUGAUGGUUUAUAAUUCAAAUAUUAGUAAGCAUCUAUGAUUUGGGAUAGAGUGUUCCCCCAUGGAAGACUGAAAGAGAUUAGCCCUAUCUGACUGCCACUGGACAAUUCAAUUUCAUUUCAGGUGAUUGAAUACAGGCAAGCAGGUUCUGGCAAACUUACCUAAGUGCCAAAUCUCCAAGCAUAUGCACCCUUUGUAUUCAAAAGCCAAAAUGAUGACGGUAGAAAUAACAUACAAUUAAUGUGUUUUUGGAUAAAAAUAAAAUAUCAACUAAAACUCA